rnacentral:rRNA from 1 species
CCUACGGGAGUCUGCAGUGGGGAAUAUUGCACAAUGGGGGAAACCCUGAUGCAGCAACGCCGCGUGAGUGAAGACGUAUGUCGGUAUGUAAAGCUCUAUGAGCAGGGAAGAAAAUGACGGUACCUGAGUAAGAAGCCCCGGCUAACUAAUUGCCAGAAGCCGCGGUAAUACGUCGGGGGCAAGCGUUAUCAGGAUUUACUGGGUGUAAAGGGAGCGUAGACGGCGGUACAAGUCUGAAGUGAAAGCCCGGGGCUCAACCCCGGGACUGCUUUGGAAACUGGGUUGCUGGAGUGCUGGAGAGGCAAGCGGAAUUUCUAGUGUAGCGGUGAAAUGCGUAGAUAUUAGGAAGAACACCAGUGGCGAAGGCGGCUUGCUGGACAGUAACUGACGUUGAGGCUCGAAAGCGUGGGGAGCAAACAGGAUUAGAUACCCCAGUAGUC